rnacentral:rRNA from 1 species
UACGAAGGGGGCUAGCGUUGCUCGGAAUACUGGGCGUAAAGGGUGCGUAGGCGGGUCUUUAAGUCAGAGGUGAAAUCCUGGAGCUCAACUCCAGAACUGCCUUUGAUACUGAGGAUCUUGAGUUCGGGAGAGGUGAGUGGAACUGCGAGUGUAGAGGUGAAAUUCGUAGAUAUUCGCAAGAACACCAGUGGCGAAGGCGGCUCACUGGCCCGAUACUGACGCUGAGGCACGAAAGCGUGGGGAGCAAACAGG